rnacentral:rRNA from 1 species
UACGAAGGGGGCUAGCGUUGCUCGGAAUCACUGGGCGUAAAGCGCACGUAGGCGGACUCUUAAGUCGGUGGUGAAAUCCUGGAGCUCAACUCCAGAACUGCCUUCGAUACUGGGAGUCUCGAAUUCGGGAGAGGUGAGUGGAACUGCGAGUGUAGAGGUGAAAUUCGUAGAUAUUCGCAAGAACACCAGUGGCGAAGGCGGCUCACUGGCCCGAUACUGACGCUGAGGUGCGAAAGCGUGGGGAGCAAACAGG